AAGAAAGUGACUGCCGCCCCGCACAGGGGCAACGCUAAUAGACCGACACGAAAACAGGAUUUCACGAAAGCGCCUGCAAACCCAAACCCCUA
rnacentral:sRNA from 1 species